AGCGUAGGUGGCCUAACAUGUCAACUGUGAAAACUCGGAGCUCAACUCCGGACUUGCAGUUGAAACUGGUAGGCUUGAGGACGGUAGAGGAAGACGGAACUGCCAGUGUAGGGGUAAAAUCCUUAGAUAUUGGCAGGAACGCCGGUGACGAAGGUGGUUUUCUGGCCGGUUCUGACACUGAUGCUCGAAAGCCAGGGGAGCGAACGG
rnacentral:rRNA from 1 species